rnacentral:pre_miRNA from 1 species
AUGUAGGGCAAUCUGUCUUUAAGAGUAAAUUCUUCUUUUAAAAAACUGCUAGUUUUCUUUUUUAAGUCAAGUGUCUUGU